rnacentral:tRNA from 1 species
AAAGGGAGACCUAAUUCAGGUAAAAGACGAAAAAAAAGUAGUCGCUACCAAGAAUCAAUCCCAAAAGGUCGGAGCGAGGCGAAAUUGGCUUUCAAACUAGGUUCUGGGUUCAAACAAGACCUGAAUCAGGAACAAGGGCUAUUAGCUCAGGUGGUUAGAGCGCACCCCCGAUAAGGGUGAGGUCCCUGGUUCGAGUCCAGGAUGGCCCACCUGCACAGGUGGCAAAAACAAGAGAAGCGAGGAAUCAGCACCUUAUCUUACCUAUAUAGUAAGAGAGAAUGCUGGCUCUGAGUAAAGAGUCCAGAGGAACCUUGAAAACUGCAUAGAGCUAGGUGAAAAAGCCAAAAAAGAAGACCGCAAG